rnacentral:rRNA from 1 species
GACGAACGCUGGCGGCGUGCUUAACACAUGCAAGUCGAACGAAGUGGCGAACUGGUGAGUAAUACGUGGGUAGCCUGCCCUCCUUUUUGGGAUAAGCCUUGGGAACGGGGUCUACUACCGAAUAAAGGGGGAUGGGCUCGGGGCCUAUGAGCUUGUUGGUGGGGUGAUGGCCUAACAAGGCGGUGACGGGUUGCCAGCCUGAGAGGGUGACCAGGAACAGUGGGACGGAGCUACGGCCAAGAGUACUAAGGGAUGGAGAAGUUGGGGCUAUUGGACAAAGCGCGAAAGAGCGAUGCAGCGACGACGCGUGGGGGAUGAAGGUUUUAGGGUUGUAAAACUCUUUCGGUAUCGAUCGGGUAGGUGGAGAAGAAGCGCCGGCUAACUACGUGCCAGCCGCCGCGGUAAUUC